GAUGAACGCUAGCGAUAGGCUUAACACAUGCAAGUCGAGGGGCAGCAUGAUCUUAGCUUGCUAAGGUCGAUGGCGACCGGCGCACGGGUGCGUAACGCGUAUGCAACUUGCCUUACAGAGGGGGAUAACCCGUUGAAAGACGGACUAAAACCGCAUACACUUGUAUUAUUGCAUGAUAUUACAAGGAAAUAUUUAUAGCUGUAAGAUAGGCAUGCGUCCCAUUAGCUGGUUGGUGAGGUAACGGCUCACCAAGGCGACGAUGGGUAGGGGAACUGAGAGGUUUAUCCCCCACACUGGUACUGAGACACGGACCAGACUCCUACGGGAGGCAGCAGUGAGGAAUAUUGGUCAAUGGGCGAGAGCCUGAACCAGCCAAGUAGCGUGCAGGAAGACGGCCCUAUGGGUUGUAAACUGCUUUUAUGCGGGGAUAAAGUGAGGGACGUGUCCUUCAUUGCAGGUACCGCAUGAAUAAGGACCGGCUAAUUCCGUGCCAGCAGCCGCGGUAAUACGGAAGGUCCGGGCGUUAUCCGGAUUUAUUGGGUUUAAAGGGAGCGUAGGCCGUGGAUUAAGCGUGUUGUGAAAUGCAGGUGCUCAACGUCUGCACUGCAGCGCGAACUGGUCCACUAGAGUGUGCGCAACGCAGGCGGAAUUCGUCGUGUAGCGGUGAAAUGCUUAGAUAUGACGAAGAACUCCGAUUGCGAAGGCAGCUUGCGGGAGCACAACUGACGCUGAAGCUCGAAAGUGCGGGUAUCGAACAGG
rnacentral:rRNA from 1 species